AUGCAUCUAUUGAUAGACCAAAAGCCAUCUACUAUUGCUUGUUGGUUUGCACUGAGAUGCUAAAUAAACUUUUUUUCCUUGCGCUUUCUGUCUGUCAGACAUUGACUUAACAGAUUGAAUAGAGGAAUACAUGU